GAGGAGCGCAUAUCCAAUGAUCCGGAGAUAUCUGAAUGGAGAAACCCGGCAGAGGAAACCUCUGUCAGCGUGCAGUGAAUACAUAGCGGUACGUGGGGAACCCGGGGAACUGAAACAUCUAAGUACCCGGCGGAAGAGAAAGAAAAUUUAUCGAUUUCCAAAGUAGCGGCGAGCGAAAUGGAAAGAGCCCAUACCGUGAUGCAUGCAUCCCGGAGUUCUGACUACGUUGUGCCCGACGUAAGAUAGUAUAACGGACUGGGAAGUCCGGCCGGAGGACGUGAGCGCAUCGUAUCCUAAAU
rnacentral:rRNA from 1 species